CAUCACUGGAAGAUUAAUGACUUUCAGCAAUGCCUGCCCAGUGCGAUCAAAAGUCGUAAACGGCCGCCCUAGCGUGAGGGUGCUAAGGUAGCGAAAUUCCUUGCCUUUUAAUUGUAGGCCUGCAUGAAUGGUUUGACGAGGGCUUAACUGUCUCUAGUUUGUAAGUCUAAAUUGGAUUAAAGGUGAAGAUACCUUUAUAAAAAAGUCAGACAAGAAGACCCCGUGCAACUUUUAAAGUCAACUUGUUUAGGAGUUUCAGAUUUUUAGGUGGGGCGCCUAUUAAGUAAUAUUAACCUUAGUGUACGAUAAAACUUUCAAGUAUAGACCCGACAAUGUCGAUCAUAGGAGAAGUUACGCCGGGGAUAACAGGCUAAUCCACUAGUAGAGAACGUAUUGGCUAGUGGGAUUGGCACCUCGAUGUUGAAUCAGGGAUGAUACCUCUAAGGCGUAGAAGCUUUGGAAGUGGGUCUGUUCGACCUUUAAUACCCUACG
rnacentral:rRNA from 1 species